GACGUAGGGCGCGAGCGUUGUCCGGAUUUAUUGGGCGUAAAGAGCUCGUAGGUGGUUUGUCGCGUUGUCCGUGAAAACUCACAACUCAAUUGUGGGCGUGCGGGCGAUACGGGCAGACUGGAGUACUGCAGGGGAGACUGGAAUUCCUGGUGUAGCGGUGGAAUGCGCAGAUAUCAGGAGGAACACCGGUGGCGAAGGCGGCCCCCUGGGCCGAACCUGACGCCUGAGGCGCGAAGGCUAGGGAGCGAACGGG
rnacentral:rRNA from 1 species